UACGAAGGGGGCUAGCGUUGUUCGGAUUUACUGGGCGUAAAGCGCACGUAGGCGGUGAGGUAAGUCGGAUGUGAAAUCCCGGGGCUCAACCCCGGAACUGCAUUCGAUACUGCUUUACUUGAGGACUGGAGAGGAGAUUGGAAUUCACGGUGUAGCAGUGAAAUGCGUAGAUAUCGUGAGGAAGACCAGUGGCGAAGGCGAAUCUCUGGACAGAUCCUGACGCUGAGGCACGAAGGCUAGGGGAGCAAACGGG
rnacentral:rRNA from 1 species